rnacentral:rRNA from 1 species
GAUGAACGCUGGCGGCGUGCUUAACACAUGCAAGUCGAGCGAAGCACAUUUGAAGUUUUCGGACAGAUUAUGUGACUGAGCGGCGGACGGGUGAGUAACGCGUGGGUAACCUGCCUCACACAGGGGAAUAACAGUUAGAAAUGACUGCUAAUGCCGCAUAAGCGCACGGGGCCGCAUGGCUCUGUGUGAAAAACUCCGGUGGUGUGAGAUGGACCCGCGUCUGAUUAGCUUGUUGGUGAGGUAACGGCCCACCAAGGCGACGAUCAGUAGCCGACUUGAGAGAGUGAUCGGCCACAUUGGGACUGAGACACGGCCCAGACUCC